UAUCCAUCCCAUGCGGGAAGGAUGAGAAGCUUCGACUAAGGUUCGAUUCGAGCGGAGCGAGAAAGCGUUGCCGCAGGCAA
rnacentral:sRNA from 1 species